rnacentral:rRNA from 1 species
AUUGAACGCUGGCGGCAGGCCUAACACAUGCAAGUCGAGCGAGCGGCGGACGGGUGCGUAAUGUCUGGGAAACUGCCUGAUGGCGGGGGAUAACUACUGGAAACGGUAGCUAAUACCGCAUACCAUCAGAUGUGCCCAGAUGGGAUUAGCUAGUAGGUGGGGUAAUGGCUCUCCUAGGAGACGAUCCCUAGCUGGGCUGACAGGAUGACCAGCCACACUGGAACUUAGACACGGUCCAGACUCCUACGGGAGGCAGCAGUGGGGAAUAUUGCACAAUGGGCGAAAGCCUGAUACAGCCAGGCCGCGGGAGUGAAGAAGGCCUUCGGGUUGUAAAGCACUGUCAGCGAGGAGGCGUUACUCGCAGAAGAAGCACCGGCUAACUCCGUGCCAGCAGCCGCGGUAAUUC